UGCCGCGUGAGUGAAGAAGGCCUUCGGGUUGUAAAGCUCUUUCGGCGGGGACGAUGAUGACGGUACCCGCAUAAGAAGCCCCGGCUAACUUCGUGC
rnacentral:rRNA from 1 species